CCGACCCGUUCCCUGUCCGCUUCCGCUCUCCAGGGACAGCGAAGGGAUUUCGGGACAAUAAUCGGUUGUCCCUUCCUUGGGCUGGAGCUACCCCUUUCAACCUCUUCGAGGUUCGCCGAGAGGCUUGUUGAAUCAAAGUAGGUAAAGAACCAAGGAAGAAGGGAUCUUUGAACAAGUUCAGAUUUGAGCAUGGCGCAUAGGUUGCUGAGGGACCAUGAAGCAGAUGGCUGGGAGCGAUCUGACUUUCCUAUUAUCUGUGAAUCAUGCCUGGGUGACAACCCAUAUGUUCGUAUGACCAGAGCUGACUAUGAUAAGGAGUGCAAGAUUUGUACACGGCCAUUCACUGUUUUUAGAUGGAGACCUGGUCGAGAUGCAAGAUAUAAGAAAACUGAGAUCUGCCAAACGUGUAGUAAAUUGAAAAACGUUUGUCAAGUCUGUCUUCUAGAUCUUGAGUAUGGAUUGCCAGUUCAAGUCCGGGACACUGCUCUUAGCAUUAGUUCCCAUGAUGUUAUUCCAAAGAGUGAUGUUAAUCGGGAGUAUUUUGCUGAAGAACAUGAUCGCAAGACUCGAGCUGGCUUGGAUUACGAAUCCUCAUAUGGAAAAGUACGCCCAAAUGAUACUAUUUUGAAACUUCAAAGGACAACACCAUACUACAAAAGAAACCGUGCUCAUAUUUGCAGUUUCUACAUAAGGGGUGAGUGUACCAGAGGAGCUGAAUGCCCUUAUAGGCAUGAGAUGCCAGUGACUGGGGAGUUGUCACAACAAAAUAUCAAAGAUCGUUAUUAUGGGGUGAACGAUCCUGUGGCGUUGAAGUUACUUGGCAAGGCUGGAGAGAUGACCUCUCUGGAGCCUCCAGAGGAUGAGACCAUUAAAACUCUCUAUGUUGGUGGGCUUGAUGCUAGGGUUAGUGAGCAGGAUCUGCGUGAUCACUUUUACGCCCAUGGUGAAAUAGAAUCCAUCAAGAUGGUGCUCCAACGGGCUUGUGCUUUUGUAACCUACUCAACCAGAGAAGGUGCAGAAAAAGCAGCUGAAGAGCUCUCCAACAAGCUAGUUAUCAAAGGCCUAAGGUUGAAGCUAAUGUGGGGCAGACCUCAGACAUCGAAACCAGACUCCGAAAGUUCCGAUCAAGCGAGGCAGCAGGCAUCUGUGGCUCAUAGCAGGUUGUUGCCUCGAGCUGUCAUAUCACAGCAGCAGAACCAGGAUCAAACCCUGGGGGUGCAUUACUAUAACAUUCCACCUCCUCCUCAGCAAGAUAGAAGCUACUAUCCAUCAAUGGAUCCUCAAAGAAUGGGUGCUGUUAUUCCAUCCCAAGAUGCUGGUCCUCCUGUUGGGGCCUCUGGGACAGGAGAGAACAACAAACCCAACAUGGAGAAGCAGCAAAUGCAGCAUUUUGCCCAUCCAAUGAUGCCUCCACCACCUGGGCAAUAUCACCAUCAUCAGUAUUAUCAGCCUCCACCGUACAGUUAUAUGCCACCUGUACCUGCUUAUCAACAGUACCCACCACCUUACAACCCUGGGAUGGCUACAUCUCAGCCACCACCAGCGGUAAAUCAGCCGUAUCAGCAAUCUAUGCAGCCAGGAUCAUCUGCUCCCUCAGCAUCUGCACCAGCUGCACUGGCAGAAGCAGGAACAUCAACCUCGGCCUCACAGUAGCAAGGAAAUUUCUCAUAUGCUGAUGUUCAUCUAUCUGCUUUUUUCCUGCUUAAACCAGAUGUUUUGUGAUUUAAUUUUGUGCAUUGAAUAUUCAAGUUGCUUGGGAAUCAUGCAAGGGUAUUUCUUUUUCUUUGAUGGCUCGCCAAGACAAUGAAACUACUAACUUGUUGGCAGUGAUGGGUUCUAGAAGGAUGUGUCCUGUUGGAUGGCUUUUAGAAGCUACA